GGAUUCUCUUAAACCUAACCAUCGGGGUCACAUACAGAGUUCGCCGUAACUCAUAUACCUCCCUGAGAAAGGUCCCCGGAUCUAUGGCAGAGAGUGCCGCUGGCUAAGGCCAGUUAGCCGCAAACCCGUCGCUGUAGGACAGGAGGAUUCCGAUCUGUGCACGAUAGUUUGCGGUAUUUGGUCAGAGCAAAGGGAUGCUAGGAUUCUGCGAAUUGCAAAACGGGGCCUGUUCUAAGAGAAUC
rnacentral:RNase_MRP_RNA from 1 species